rnacentral:lncRNA from 1 species
AUGGAUAGAUAUCGUUGAUGCAUUUUUAACCAAAUAGAAAUUUAAUACACGAGAAGAAGUGAUAAGUUGGAUUAAGGAGGUUGAAAUCAAACAUAAGGUAACUAUUAUCAUUACUCGUUGAGAUACCGAAGAAGCAAAAAAUUAAUCCUUUGUUUUAAUAAAGGCCAAAAAUACAAGGAAGCAGAUAAUGCAACACAAAGUGCGACUAAAAAAUAUGGAUAUCCCUUAAAAAACAUAUCAAUACCGUCUAAAGAUGGUUAAGGAUGGAAGAUUGAAGUAAAAUAUGGAAUUCACAACCACUAUCUACCGAGUAUAUUUGAAGGUCAUGCGUUUCUUGGUCGUUGUCCUUAUAAUGCUCAUUGUCCUUAUGGGACAAGUGACACCAAACACAAGAGGGAGGUGAAUUGUGCGAGCUUGAAAAACAAUGUUUAAAUAAAAAUCUUUGACAAAAUCAUAGUAUAAAACAAUUUGGUAAAAUAGACAUGGAAAAAGUAGCAGAAUAAAGUAAAUCAAAAUAGAAAGAAAGAAAAACACUUGAAGUAUAUAAAUGACUGAAAUGUAAAGAAAUAAGGAAAGAGAGAAAAACACCAUAUAUUUAUAAAGUUUUGGUCUAGUAAUAUGACAUACACCUUUGCCCAAGAAUUCCUUCUUGAGAGUAUCCAUUAUGAUCUUGUGUGAGAUUUUCACUGGUUUUUCCCACAAACCUUCUUACACACAUACUAGACUUUUUCAAUGGCUAUCCUCCAAACAAAACACGAAAUUUUAACUAUAGAGACCUCCCAACCAAACAAAAGAUUCUAGCACUAGGACAAUAUCAAACCAAACAAGAUCUUUUAACACCAAGAUAAGCUCACGAACCAAACAUGAGAUUUAACUGUAGAGAUCUCCCAACCAAAUAUGAUAUUUUAACAGGUUGAUCUCGAAAACCAAACAGAGGUUUUACCAUAUUUACCUCUACAACCAAACAAGAACGUUUAAUUGGUUUAUCUCAGAACCCAAACAACCUUCUCACAAGAUAGAUAUUACAAUAAUGUGCCACACUAGAACCAAAAAACCUCAUAGGUAAAAAUUUACUCUCAAAGAAAUAAGGCAAAAGUGAGGAGAGAGAUAGAGAUAGAUAGAUAGAUAGAUAGAUAGAUAGAUAGAUAGAGAGAGAGAGAGAGAAGAGAGAUAGAGAUAGAUAGAUAGAUAGAUAGAUAGAUAGAUAGAUAGAGAGAGAGAGAGAGAGAGAGAGAGAGAGAGAGAGAGAGAGAGAGCAUAUGUGUAUGAAUAUUAAUCUGCUGAUAGUCAUUUUCUGCUUCUUGAUGAUGGCGUUGAGAAUAACUCCAGUUAGAGUAGUCUCUGGUAUCUCAUAAUUAAACUAUUCUAAAGAGGAUGGCUCUCCUUGUUAAGGUGUAGCUUGUUGACUUGACGAGAAACCCUUUUCUUUAGAAGACUUGUGGGACAACACUCGUUUAUUAAUGAUUAUUCUUAUUUUCCUUAAGUCUUGCUUCCUAUUAUAGUGUAAUUUUGGUAUGGUUCUUCAUCCUCAAGGUUGAGUCCAGCGUUCUCCAAGAUUUUUUUACUAGCCCACCAAAUUGUAACCACAUAUUAUUUCUUUUGAUAUCGAUAAUAUGAUGGAUCACAAUACUGGCCCAAUUUUUGUUCAACUUUAUUAGCAUGUUGCCAAACCGCAUCAACCUAUAUUUUGGUUAGUUACCCAAACUUAUGUUUCCCUGGGAUAAGAAUAUGUGUGGCCACAUUGUGAGUGUGACGAAUAUCUAGGAGAAAUGAUCCCAUCUUGAAAGGAGUAGGAAUUUCAUCUCUAGGAUUAGCUAGGAAUGAGAUAGCAUUAGGAAUAUAAGAAUAAUUAUUACUUGCUACUUCAUCAGAUUAGUACUAGUACAUGGAAGGUUGUAGAUCUCAACGAACUCUUCAAGAGAUAAUUUGAUUUAUUACUUCCUAACUUCACUAAUAAGGACCCCCUUAACAUAGUUGAUAUUGGAGUAGAACAUUCUCACUAGAUCUGGAAACUUCUCUUUAGGAAUGUCACAAAUGAAGCUCCUUAAUGAGGCUUCAUCAAAUAACUUUAAAAACUCAUAAUGUUUAACAAUCUUUUUCUUCCAAGUUGUACUAAUAAAGUAUAUUUCUCCUUUCCUAAUAUCUUUUGAACUGAUUCUUGAGUUUGAGACGAAAAGAACUUUGAGAAGUAAGUUGUAGUUGAAGAGCUUCAUUAUAUAGACAUCAUUUUUAGAGCUAUGAUGAUGAUAGAGAUUGCAGAGUAUUUGCCUAGAUUUUUCAAUUUGCUUUGCACAUUUGCUAAAGACAUAAAUAACUCAAGACAAAGAAUGUGUUAGUGAUAAAAUAAUAUUCAAUCAUCAUUAAAAAGACCACUUGUCAUUUCCUAUGAGUUUUCCGAUUCAAUUUCUACCAAGUGUUUUACCUCCAAAAUAUCAAGAUAUCUUGAGAAAACUCCUCCUUAUGAGGGAACGACAAACCAUUGUUGAAAUUUCAUCUCUGCUUGAUACA